CGGGCUAUUAGCUCAGUGGUAGAGCGCGCCCCUG
rnacentral:tRNA from 1 species